rnacentral:rRNA from 1 species
AGUGAACGCUGGCGGCGUGCCUAAUACAUGCAAGUCGAACGGACAAGUAAGAGCUUGCUCUUAUGAGUUAGUGGCGCACGGGUGAGUAAUGUAUAGCUAAUCUGCCCUACACUAGAGGACAACAGUUGGAAACGACUGCUAAUACUCUAUACUCCUCUCUAGCAUAAGUUAGAUAGGGAAAGUUUUUCGGUGUAGGAUGAGGCUAUAUUGUAUCAGCUAGUUGGUGAGGUAAUGGCUCACCAAGGCUAUGACGC